rnacentral:rRNA from 1 species
UACGUAAGUGGCGAGCGUUAUCCGGAAUUACUGGGCGUAAAGCGUGCGCAGGCGGUGAUGUAAGACAGAUGUGAAAUCCCCGGGCUCAACCUGGGAACUGCAUUUGUGACUGCAUCGCUGGAGUGCGGCAGAGGGGGAUGGAAUUCCGCGUGUAGCAGUGAAAUGCGUAGAUAUGCGGAGGAACACCGAUGGCGAAGGCAAUCCCCUGGGCCUGCACUGACGCUCAUGCACGAAAGCGUGGGGAGCAAACAGG